GAUGAACGCUGGCGGCGUGCCUAAUACAUGCAAGUCGAGCGAAUGGAUUAAGAGCUUGCUCUUAUGAAGUUAGCGGUGGACGGGUGAGUAACACGUGGGUAACCUGCCCAUAAGACUGGGAUAACUCCGGGAAACCGGGGCUAAUACCGGAUAACAUUUUGAACCGCAUGGUUCGAAAUUGAAAGGCGGCUUCGGCUGUCACUUAUGGAUGGACCCGCGUCGCAUUAGCUAGUUGGUGAGGUAACGGCUCACCAAGGCAACGAUGCGUAGCCGACAUGAGAGGGUGAUCGGCCACACUGGGACUGAGAUACGGCCCAGACUCCUACGGGAGGCAGCAGUAGGGAAUCUUCCGCAAUGGACGAAAGUCUGACGGAGCAACGCCGCGUGAGUGAUGAAGGCUUUCGGGUCGUAAAACUCUGUUGUUAGGGAAGAACAAGUGCUAGUUGAAUAAGCUGGCACCUUGACGGUACCUAACCAGAAAGCCACGGCUAACUACGUGCCAGCCGCCGCAGUAA
rnacentral:rRNA from 1 species